rnacentral:tRNA from 1 species
GUUUUAAUAGUUUAAAAAAAAACAUUGGUCUUGUAUACCAAAAAUAAGAAAAAUCUUUUAAAACU